CAUAACUCCCACUGCUCACACCGGGUGUGAGGGGUUGGAUACCCCCGGGGUCCCUCCCUCGCCAUGGGGGGCUGUGUUUGGGGUGCCCCCGGGGUUUUGGGGUGCCCCCAGGGUUUUGGGGUGCCCGCUGUUGAGGCUGCCGUGCCCCAGGCGCUGCCCGCUCCGGGUGCCGGCAGGAUGGCGCUGCUCCCCGUCGUGGCGCUCUUGGCUCUGUGCCCGCUCCUCGCCCGGGCAGACCAGCCUCCUGUCACCGUGACGGUGACAGCGGCCAUCGGCGAGGACGCCUGCCUGCCCUGCGGCUCGCAGCCCUGGGGUGACCUGCGCGGGGUCACCCUCAGCUGCACCCACCAGGCCGGCGGCCACCUCGCUGUCCCCGUGCUCAGCCACCGCCUGGGCUGGCACCCACCGCCCCCCGAGCCGGGCUGGCAGCCGCCCGUGCAGCCCGACAGCCGCUUCAGGGGCAGGGUGGCCUUCUGCGCCGAGGGGACAGGGGACAGCGGCGUGUCCCUGCUGCUGAGGAACCUCAGCGAUCCCGAUUUCGGGAAUUAUUCCUGCUAUGCCAUCAGUGCUGCUGCCCCGCAGCUCCUGUGCUCCCUGCUGCUGCAGCCCGCGGUGGCAGGUGAGAGGGGCAGGGUGGCACUGUCCCUUUUGGGGUCCCUCAAUUCUCUGGUGUGUCCAGGCCUGGGUGCUGCCACAAUUUGGGGGUGUCCCCAAUUCCCUGCUGCAUCUGUCACCUGCCUUGUCCCCUGAUCCAUCCCUGUUCCCCAUCUGGGUGGUUCCUCACACUCUUCACCCCAAUUUGGGAUCCCCCCAUUCCCUGACUCAUCUGUCACUUCCUCCAUCCCUGUCCCCAUCUGGGUGCUGCCACAAUUUGGGGAUGCCCCCAAUUCCUUGACCCAUCUGUCACCUCCUCCAGCUCUGUCCCCAUCUGGGUGAUGCCAGGUGUCCCUGCCCGGUUCCCCUGCCAUGUUUGGGGUCCCCACAAGGUGUCUGUCCCUUGUCCCACCUUGGCAGUGCCAGGUGUCCCUGCUGUGUCCCCCUGCCAGGCUUGGGGUCCCCACCUGCCCUGACGAGUCCCUUGUCCCUGGUGUGUCUGUCUGUCCCU
ensembl:lncRNA